rnacentral:rRNA from 1 species
UACAGAGGUCUCAAGCGUUGUUCGGAUUCAUUGGGCGUAAAGGGUGCGUAGGUGGCGCUGUAAGUUGGGUGUGAAAUUUCGGAGCUUAACUCCGAAACUGCAUUCGAUACUGCGGUGCUUGAGGACUGGAGAGGAGACUGGAAUUCAUGGUGUAGCAGUGAAAUGCGUAGAGAUCAUGAGGAAGACCAGUGGCGAAGGCGGGUCUCUGGACAGUUCCUGACACUGAGGCACGAAGGCCAGGGGAGCAAACAGG